AUUGAACGCUGGCGGCAGGCCUAACACAUGCAAGUCGAACGAGAGGCGGACGGGGGAGUAAAGUCUGGGAAACUGCCCGAUGGAGGGGGGUAACUACUGGAAACGGUAGCUAAUACCGCAUACCAUCGGAUGUGCCCCGAGGGGAUUAGCUAGUAGGUGGGGGAACGGCGCACCUAGGCGACGAUCCCUAGCUGGUCUGAGAGGAUGACCAGCCACACUGGAACUGAGACACGGUCCAGACUCCUACGGGAGGCAGCAGUGGGGAAUAUUGCACAAUGGGCGCAAGCCUGAUGCAGCCAUGCCGCGUGUAUGAAGAAGGCCUUCGGGUUGUAAAGUACUUUCAGCGAGGAGGCGUUACUCGCAGAAGAAGCACCGGCUAACUCCGUGCCAGCAGCCGCGGUAAUUC
rnacentral:rRNA from 1 species